UUGGUCAUUGCAUUUCAUGAAGUUAUUUCUUUAAAGUAUGUUUUCAAAUGUUUUAUGCAUGACUAUCAUACUUGGUACAUGUUUGUACUAACACCUACUCUUGCCUACAUUUCUCCAAAUGUAAGGUCUGACAGUCAGGGUUCCCAGUUUCGUGGCUAGAGUUCUUUGAGGAGAUUCCCAGCUUUGGUGAGUCCUCAUGCUUCGAGGAUG
rnacentral:lncRNA from 1 species